rnacentral:rRNA from 1 species
AUUGAACGCUGGCGGCAGGCCUAACACAUGCAAGUCGAACGGUAGCACAGAGAGCUUGCUCUCGGGUGACGAGUGGCGGACGGGUGAGUAAUGUCUGGGAAACUGCCCGAUGGAGGGGGAUAACUACUGGAAACGGUAGCUAAUACCGCAUAACGUCGCAAGACCAAAGUGGGGGACCUUCGGGCCUCACACCAUCGGAUGUGCCCAGAUGGGAUUAGCUAGUAGGUGGGGUAAUGGCUCACCUAGGCGACGAUCCCUAGCUGGUCUGAGAGGAUGACCAGCCACACUGGAACUGAGACACGGUCCAGACUCCUACGGGAGGCAGCAGUGGGGAAUAUUGCACAAUGGGCGCAAGCCUGAUGCAGCCAUGCCGCGUGUAUGAAGAAGGCCUUCGGGUUGUAAAGUACUUUCAGCGGGGAGGAAGGCGGUGAAGUUAAUAGCUUCACCGAUUGACGUUACCCGCAGAAGAAGCACCGGCUAACUCCGUGCCAGCAGCCGCGUAA